CCUAGCCCUAGAGGCUUUGCAUAUGUGGCUGCCAUGUCACAUGUGUGUCAGUCGGUGGCAAAAUGGAGAGAAGCUAUAUCUAUGAUUAGUGUUCUGACCUAUGACAUCUGAACGAUUAGUAGCCUAACAUU